rnacentral:lncRNA from 1 species
GCUUUCAGCUGUUCCUCCAAAACACAUCCUGUCUGUAGCCAACUCCCCACCUCCACUCCUGCCUCCACGGCCCACUCACCCCUCCUCUUACCUGAAAGACUGCAAUAGCCUUGUAGUGGGUGUUCCUGCUUUGUUCUCCCCUCACCACAUCCACUCUCCUCAACGCAACCGGAGGAGCUUUAAAAAUGUUAAUCAGAUCAAGUUUCUCCAUAGCUUAAAACCCCAUCCACCACCUGCAAGGCUGUCUGUGAUCCAGUCCCUCCCUACUUCUCCACCCUGACCUCCUCUCUGUUCCCGGAACAGCACCAAAUUCACUUCUGGCUCAGGGCCUUUGCACAUGCUGUUCCCUGCCCUCCUUCUCUCAACAGGCUUCUUGUAUCAUUCAAAUCUCAAGUCAAAUGUAACCCUUUCAGAGAAGGCUUUCUUCACUCCCACUCCUAGCCACUCUGUCAUAUCACCCUUGCACUCACCACAGUAAUUGCCUUGUUCUUUAUCGAUUUCCUGCCUCUCUACACUUGAUUGAAAACUCCUUGAGAGGGGGCCACGUUUCCCUCAUUUACUGCUGACUCCCCAGCACCUAAAGUAAUGCUUGGCCCACAGGGUGUAUUACAUGCCUGAUGGUGCGGUUUCCUAUGAAUAUUGUGGAAAGAGAAAAUGAAGGAGUGAGUGAAUUAUUCUUUAUCAAAAACAAAGCACCAAAAUUUUCUCUCAAAGCAGAAACUGGACAGUUAAAACACAGAAACAGAAUUUAAUGAGUUUGUAAUGAGACAGUGAGCUCCGUGAGAGUAGCUCCCACCUCUCCUGUUAAUGAUAUAUACCAGGGCCCAGAGCAAAACUUGGUACAGAACUGACACCAUGUAGGGAACAAACCAGACCACGGACCAGGCCACGUUAGGGGUUGGUGUGUUUCUGGGUGGAAGAGCCUGCUCAGCCAGGGCCGGCAGGGCAAGCUGUCCUCUCUGAGCCGACAGGGAAGCCUGGCGACGCUGGGGAAUUUGAGAGUCCCCGCCUGGCAUGCACUCCCCUUGAAAGGAUUGUCAGGAAACUGGAGGCCUCUCUGAAUUUGGAGAGGAUGAUUUAGUUCCUACUUGAUUGCUCUCCUCCUAACUCCCUCUCUCCAUGAAGCUCCUUGAAUAUAAAUUCAGGAAUUUAUCAUCGUAGCAUUAUUGUCUGCUUCUAACCAGUAACUCCUCCUUUAUAAAAAUGGGGGCUCUGGACUAGAUCUCUCAAUUCCCUUCAGAGCCAACAUUUGAUGGUUUUAAGUGAAAAUGUGUUCCACCUGGAACCAAGGGGCGUUCAGCUCAAGCCUCUAAAAAACACAGUUCAAGCUUAACUGGAAGGACCUGGAGAGCUAGUCACAGCCGCUGCCUCACAGCAGGUCCCAGGUAACGAGGCCCCUCUCACCUGACCUGAGCGUGGUAGGAGACAGCACGUGAUGAUUCUGAAGCCCAUAUCCUGUCCCCUCCAGGGCUUGGCAUUCUGUUUCCUGGAACUUCUCCGCUCUAAGCGGAGAUACUAUUAAAGAAUGUUUUAAACUGAGGAAUGAGAAAUAUUCUCCACGUGAGUUUUUAAAGUCCACGUGUGAGACUGGUGGUUCUUAAGCUCAAAGUCACCUGCAGUGCUUGUUAAAAUUGCAGUCUGCGGCUCAAUUCCAGCGCUCUGACUCAGUGGAUUUGCAUUUCCAGAGCUUCUAGGUGAUUCUGGAGCAAAUUUGUGGUGGAAAACUACCUGGUGCUACCUGGUAUGUAGGAGGCUGCGCUCCGCAGGGACCUGGCCUUAAACAGGCUCGGAGCCCCGCCCUCGCUGGCUUCCUGUGGCCUGUGAGGCCCGGGGAUCCGAGCAGCCUCUUCACUGACCGGCUUCAGGCCACUGGGUUCCACAAUUGCAUCAGUGAUCCGAACAGCCUGUCUCCUCAGUGCCAAACAGCUGGACACUUAGAGAGGGGAGGCCAUUCAUGUCCAGACAUACAGGCUGCUUAGAAUGCAGAUGUUGAUGACAAAAGUUGGAGCCACGAUCUUGGACCACAGUAUGGAGACUGUAUAUUGAAGAUGGCAGAGGAGUGGUAUAGAGGGAGUCUAGUCAGUGAUAAUUACAGAGCCGCAAUAACAAUCCUGGUCUGCCUCCCUAGCAUUUAAUGCACGGGACAAAUAAAUCUUAACGUUGCUUAAACCACUGUCAAUUUUGAGUUUCCCGACACUCAGCUGGAUAGAAUCCUAUCUAUUGCACAGGGAUACCUCCAUUCUUUGUCCCCGUCUCUCCCUACAUAAAGUCAUUGCCCUUUUCUGCAUUCUCUUCUUUUACUUCUACAUAUUUCAUCCAAAUGGAUUCAAAUUACACGUAUGUCUCAUUAAUGGCAGAUCACCAAAGGGGUGGAAAGCCAGCCUGGGACCUCUGGAGAGGGCAAUUAUGAGUUGGAGCCAAGGACCAGGCUCUGAGAGGCAACGUUCUUGGUCCUGGCCAGCAGAGAGGGAGUGGUUUAAACCCAGUUCUUCCUGCUCAGUUAGCCUCCCUGCCCAUUUAUGAGGCAAAGCGUGAGUCUUGCCAACAAAAUCUUCUUUCCAAGAAAAUAAGUUCAAGUCAUCCUACUUCUCUGGUUUCUCGCCUGCCAUCAUUCCCAGAAAGAUGUACAUGAUGUGGCUGUCAUGAAACAUCUGUCUCUAGUCCCACCAAAAGGACCA